AUGACCGCCAUUGCUGUUUACCUGUAUCGCGUGUGUGUAUAUCGGGAUGUGUGAAUUGGUGUAAUUACCUGUACGCUACCUGUGUCUGGGUGUUUGCAAACCUAAUGAGGAGCAUGUUUUGAUAGUAAUUAAUCGGGAAGUAUCGGGAUGGAUAGCAAAAUGCCACACUUUUUACACAAACUUCGACAAGAAUGGGGUACACCACCAAAGAAAACGAAACUUUCAUCCCGAUAUCGGGAGGCAGAUUCCCGAUUUUCGGGAUUACUAUCGGGAUCGUAAUUGGAUGACAACCAUGUAUAUUGCCGUGCAAAGGGUAGACCAUGGUGGAAUGAAUGAUGUUACAAAGAACACGAAAACAGCCAUCCAUCAAGCCUCAUGCUGCUACCAACUUCUUUGUGAAAUCAAAAUUGGAGCAAGAUGAAGAUGUCACAAGAGCAGAGGUCCUGUUUGCCAACUGUGUUGCAGAAUUUAAUGCUUUUUGAACUGCUAUACCAUACUAUUAAUUGUUUGUUGAGAUUUUAAAGAUUGAUUUAAAAUAUGAAAAUAAAGUUAUGUACUUU
rnacentral:sRNA from 1 species